rnacentral:rRNA from 1 species
UACGUAUGUCGCAAGCGUUAUCCGGAUUUAUUGGGCGUAAAGCGCGCGUAGGCGGCGAGGCAAGUGUGACGUGAAAGCCCUCGGCUCACCCGAGGAAGGGCGUUGCAGACUGCUGUGCUUGAGUGUCGGAGGGGAAGGCGGAAUUCCUGGUGGAGCGGUGAAAUGCGUAGAGAUCAGGAAGAACGUCGGUGGCGAAGGCGGCCUUCUGGACGAACACUGACGCUGAGGCGCGAGAGCGUGGGGAGCGAACGGG